rnacentral:rRNA from 1 species
UACAGAGGAGCCAAGCGUUGUCCGGAUUGACUGGGCGUAAAGCGCACGCAGGCGGUCGCGCGCGUGGGGUGUGAAAUCUGGCCGCUUAACGGCCAGGCGCCAUCCCAUACGGCACGACUGGAGUGAUGCAGAGGUCGGUGGAAUUGCCGGUGUAGUGGUGAAAUGCGUAGAUAUCGGGAGGAACACCUGUGGCGAAAGCGGCGCACUGGACCACAUCUGACGCUGAGGCGCGAAAGCUAGGGGAGCAAACAGG